GGCCUCCAAGGUUUUGGAGGGCGUGUAGGGAAUGCUGGAGCUCCUGGUCCUGCUGGUCCUCCUGGACAGCCUGGCUCUCCUGGUACCAAUGGGGUCAAAGGAGACAAGGUGACUACCCAGGCUCAUCCGCUCUGUGCAUACCUGCCAUCUUAGUAAAAAGGCACCCUUUCUGUCAGUCUGAAUAAAUGUGUGCCAAACUUGUAAAGGGAAUUGAUGUCUUCUCCGUUGCCAGGGGGAAGUUGGUGUUGGCGUUCCUGGUCUCAGAGGAGAAAGAGGAGAUCCGGGACCCAGAGUAAGACAUCAGUUAUGCCCAUUUAUAGUCUGUUUCAUUUUAUGGUCCCCUAAAAAGAAAACUGUUUUGAUGUGUUUUUGAAGGAUGAAAACCAAUAUUAUAGGCCUUUGUUGUGUCAUAACUAUGCUUUGUUUUAGGGAGAGGAGGGUCGGGCCGGCAUAGACGGAGAGAGAGGUUCAACGGUAAAUAUUAAGGCGCCCUUCUUUUUUGCAUUUCAGUAUCUCUCACAGUGCUUUUCCUAUUUUUUAGCACAAAGCAUGGAAUGAUGAAAGGAGCAUGUAAGCUUAAGUCUCAAUACUGAUAACAAUUAACAAAAGACGAGCAUUUUUCAUUUCCGGGACUGCAAAAAGAAAAAAAAAGAAAAACUCAUUCAGAGGGUUGUCGUCCUCCUCUGUGGUGUAAUUUCCAAACACCAGCAUCUAUAAUGAAGCCUGCAUUUCUUAGCUGCACACCCCAGUGAGUCAUGGCAUUGUGGAUUCUUUCAUGUCUCAGGGCGAUUUUUUAAUAUUUGGUCAUUUAGCAGAAGCUUUUAUUCAGAGCAGUCGACCAGGUUUGUCACAGUCACACAUCAUUAUUCGGUGCCUAACCAAGAAAAAUGGUGAUAUUGACAGAACCAGGCACCCUGCAGACAUUUAUAUGUUCAGUCAGUGUAUAAAAAGAGUUGAUGUGUGUCUGUUUGUGUGUUUAUCAGGGACCCCCAGGAAGUCGAGGUGCUCGUGGGGAGAAGGGAGAUUUGGGGCCUCAAGGUGAGAAAGGAGACAAGGGGGACACGGUGUUGGUUGGAGGACCUGUUGGAGAAAAGGGCACCAAAGGAGAAAUGGUUUGUAGGCAUCUACCUACAUGCUUUCUGGCACUUUUAAAUACCAUAAUAUAGGGUUUUGUUUACACUGCUCAUGUGCAUAUUUUUAAAAUCCUUCUG
rnacentral:lncRNA from 1 species